rnacentral:lncRNA from 1 species
UCCACCCAAUCUCUCAUGAAGCAGAUUCUUUAUUGAGAUCAGUAAGAAGAGGGUUGUAGAAUCACUCCUAAAAUUUGGUCUAGUCUAAACCCUACCAUUCAUUGGGUUUUCUUAAUAAUUUAUUCCUCAGUAUCCCUAAAAUUAUCUUGACCGUUAAUCAUUCAUUGAUUAGGAUGCCUAAUUGACUCUUAUUCAAAAUAAAAUUUGGAUACAC